AGGAAUAUUGGUCAAUGGACGAGAGUCUGAACCAGCCAAGUAGCGUGAAGGAUGACUGCCCUAUGGGUUGUAAACUUCUUUUAUACGGGAAUAAAGUGAGGCACGUGUGCCUUUUUGUAUGUACCGUAUGAAUAAGGAUCGGCUAACUCCGUGCCAGCAGCCGCGGUAAUACGGAGGAUGCGAGCGUUAUCCGGAUUUAUUGGGUUUAAAGGGAGCGUAGACGGGUCGUUAAGUCAGCUGUGAAAGUUUGGGGCUCAACCUUAAAAUUGCAGUUGAUACUGGCGUCCUUGAGUACGGUUGAGGCAGGCGGAAUUCGUGGUGUAGCGGUGAAAUGCUUAGAUAUCACGAAGAACCCCGAUUGCGAAGGCAGCCUGCUAAACCGCCACUGACGUUGAGGCUCGAAAGUGUGGGUAUCAAACAGGAUUAGAUACCCUGGUAGUCCACACGGUAAACGAUGGAUACUCGCUGUUGGCGAUAGACUGUCAGCGGCUUAGCGAAAGCGUUAAGUAUCCCACCUGGGGAGUACGCCGGCAACGGUGAAACUCAAAGGAAUUGACGGGGGCCCGCACAAGCGGAGGAACAUGUGGUUUAAUUCGAUGAUACGCGAGGAACCUUACCCGGGCUUGAAUUGCAGACGAAUUGCUUGGAAACAGGCAAGCCGCAAGGCGUCUGUGAAGGUGCUGCAUGGUUGUCGUCAGCUCGUGCCGUGAGGUGUCGGCUUAAGUGCCAUAACGAGCGCAACCCUCGUGUCCAGUUACUAGCAGGUUAUGCUGAGGACUCUGGACAGACUGCCAUCGUAAGAUGUGAGGAAGGUGGGGAUGACGUCAAAUCAGCACGGCCCUUACGUCCGGGGCUACACACGUGUUACAAUGGGGGGUACAGCAGGCAGCUACCGGGCGACCGGAUGCCAAUCCCGAAAGCCUCUCUCAGUUCGGACUGGAGUCUGCAACCCGACUCCACGAAGCUGGAUUCGCUAGUAAUCGCGCAUCAGCCACGGCGCGGUGAAUACGUUCCCG
rnacentral:rRNA from 1 species